GAUACAGCGAUGAAAAGGGAUAGUACGAAAAGAAGGGCUGUUAAAGAGAGAGAAUGACAGGUGGAACAUUCUUACAGCGGCUUUUCGGAACCUGCCUUGGAGCUUCUGUGCGAAAGCAUAGCGUAGCUGCGGCGUUAACGCAUACAGGAAUCCCCGCAUUGGGAGGUUCUAAAGGAGAACUGGGAAAGCAAAAGACUGCUUUGGACAGUUAAUAAGGGUGGUACCGCCGAUUUUCGGUCCCUUGU
rnacentral:ncRNA from 1 species